GACUCUGCUUUUAAUUUAAAAAUCUCCUUUUUUUCUCUAGGGAUGUUGCUGCUGAUAGCUAAAAAUGAUCAAAUUCUUACCAUAUGCCAGACCUUAUGCUGGACAAUUCACUGACAUUAUCCCAUGUAGUAGGCAGAAUUCUAACGUGACCCCCAAGAUCCCCCACCUUCUGUGUAAUCCCCAGGAUUGUCAAUAUGAUGGAUUUCAUUCUGGUAAACAGGUUUUGUUAUAUGGCACAGAUGACUUUAAGACAGGGAGGCUUUAAAUCUGUGACUAGCAUAAGACAUAUGGAAGGCAGAGAUUCAAAAUAUAAGAGGGAUCUGACGCACCACUACUGGCUUGAAAAUGGAGGGGACCACAUGGCAGAGGACGCACACAGCCUCUAGUUGCUGAGGCUGGUCUCCAGCUGACAGCGGCAAGGUAACAGGGGCCUCAGUCCUACAACCACAAGGAACUGAACUCUGCCAACAUACCGAAAGAGCUUGAAGGAGGAGCGUAAGCCUCAGGGGAAUGAUCGGGGUGUUGGCUUUGGCCACAUCAGUGUCACUGAGCUUCUUCACAGCCUGUUUGAUCUGGUGCUUGUUGGCUUUGAUAUCCACAAUGGACACAAGCUGCGUUGUUGUCUUCUAUCUUCUUCAUGGCUGACUCAGUGGUUGGGGGAACCUAAUGAUGAAUUAUUGGUCAAGCUUGUUUCUCCUGGGAGUGCUCUUCCAAGGAUAUUUCUGCUGCCUCCAGAGCCACACUGUCUUGGGCCACUGGAAGGUGGGUGAUGUGUGGAUUGGAUCUUCUUUUUGUGGCAGUGGACACCUUUAAGCACUGCCUUCCUGGCCUUCAAAGUGUUCGCUUUGGCUUCAGCUUUGGGAAGGGCAAGAACUUUUUUCACUUUUGGUGCCACAGUUUGAAAAUGAGGACCUAUGUUGAGGCCUCACUUCUCUAGAAGCCAGCUGUGUGCCCUCAGGAAAGUCAAUUAAUCACUCUGAGCCUCAGUUUUUAUAAUCUGUAUGAGGCGCACUAAGAAUUUCUGCAUUAUAACCCUUGAAAGGCUGCAGCUGAUGAUCCCAUAAAAGUGUGUGAGGGGCCACUGUGAAUGAAGUCCAUAGGGCAGACAGAGGCACCUGGAUGCCAUGUAGGUAUCAUUUUCUUUUCUUGAUGACUGCCAAUUUCAGUGUCCUCUGCCUAUAGGCUGGAUAUGAUCACUCUGACGGCUUGUUUGGAGGAAGUCAUUUUAAAUAGGUUUUUUUUCUGAGAGGAAAUGAUUCUUUAUUACAUUUAUUGAAAAACUACAGAAUAAGAUGGAAUGUAAUUAUUUUUUCUUGAAUUCUUUAAAAGUUAGUUGACUAUUAAAAGCCAAAAUAAUAACAA